AUUGAACGCUGGCGGCAGGCCUAACACAUGCAAGUCGAACGAGUGGCGGACGGGUGAGCAAUGUCUGGGAAAAUGCCUGAUGGAGGGGGCUAAAUACUGGAAACGGUAGCUAAUACCGCAUACCAUCGGAUCUGCCCAGAUGGGAUUAGCUAGUAGGGGGGGUAACGGCUCACCUAGGCCACGAUCCCUAGCUGGGCUGAGAGGAUGACCAGCCACACUGGCACUGAGACACGGUCCAGACUCCUACGUGAGGCAGCAGUGGAGAAUAUUGCGGGAUGGGCGCAAGCCUGAUGCAGCCAUGCCGCGUGUAUUAAGAAGGCCUUCGGGUUGUAAAGUACUUUCAGCUGGGAGGCGUUACCCGCAGAAGAAGCACCGGCUAACUACGUGCCAGCAGCCGCGGUAAUAC
rnacentral:rRNA from 1 species